rnacentral:rRNA from 1 species
CCUACGGGGGGCAGCAGUGGGGAAUAUUGGACAAUGGGGGCAACCCUGAUCCAGCCAUGCCGCGUGUGUGAAGAAGGCCCUCGGGUUGUAAAGCACUUUCAGUGAGGAAGAACGCCUGGUGGUUAAUACCCAUCAGGAAAGACAUCACUCACAGAAGAAGCACCGGCUAACUCCGUGCCAGCAGCCGCGGUAAUACGGAGGGUGCGAGCGUUAAUCGGAAUUACUGGGCGUAAAGCGCGCGUAGGUGGCUUGAUAAGCCGGUUGUGAAAGCCCCGGGCUCAACCUGGGAACGGCAUCCGGAACUGUCAAGCUAGAGUGCAGGAGAGGAAGGUAGAAUUCCCGGUGUAGCGGUGAAAUGCGUAGAGAUCGGGAGGAAUACCAGUGGCGAAGGCGGCCUUCUGGACUGACACUGACACUGAGGUGCGAAAGCGUGGGUAGCAAACAGGAUUAGAUACCCUUGUAGUC